rnacentral:rRNA from 1 species
AGAGUUUGAUCCUGGCUCAGAAUCAACGCUGGCGGCGCGCCUAACACAUGCAAGUCGAACGAGAAAGUGGAGCAAUCCAUGAGUACAGUGGCGUACGGGUGAGUAACACGUGGGUAAUCUACCUUUUAGUGAGGAAUAACCGAGGGAAACUUUGGCUAAUACCGCAUAAGCCUGAGAAGGGAAAGCAGAAAUGCGCUGAAAGAGGAGCCCGCGGCCGAUUAGCUAGUUGGUAGGGUAAGAGCCUACCAAGGCAGAGAUCGGUAGCCGGCCUGAGAGGGCACACGGCCACACUGGCACUGAAACACGGGCCAGACUCCUACGGGAGGCAGCAGUGGGGAAUCUUGCACAAUGGGGGAAACCCUGAUGCAGCGACGCCGCGUGAGCGAUGAAGCCCUUCGGGGUGUAAAGCUCUUUCGUCAGGGAAGAUAGUGACGGUACCUGGAGAAGCAGCUGCGGCUAACUACGUGCCAGCAGCCGCGGUAAUACGUAGGCAGCAAGCGUUGUUCGGAGUUACUGGGCGUAAAGGGUGUGUAGGCGGUUCUUUAAGUUUGCUGUGAAGUCUCCCGGCUUAACCGGGAGGGUGCGGUGAAUACUGAGGGACUAGAGUACGGGAGAGGAAAGUGGAAUUCCUGGUGUAGCGGUGAAAUGCGUAGAUAUCAGGAGGAACACCGGUGGUGUAGACGGCUUUCUGGACCGUAACUGACGCUGAAACACGGAAAGGCGUGGGUAGCAAACAGGAUUAGAUACCCCAGUAGUCC